AAAAACUUAGGUUACAAGACCAGAAGCCUUCAAAGCUCCAAGCAGAAGUGAAAACCCCUCUAGUUUUUG
rnacentral:tRNA from 2 species